UUACAGGUUUUUCAGCCCACCAAUUGCCAACUAAUAAAAAAAGAUGAUAAUGACAUUUACAAUAUCUCCAAAUAUUAGAUAGCCAUAUUGUGAAAAAAAAACAUAUACCUUUUACUUUACGUAAAUGAAUAUCUGCAUUUUGUUGAUCUCUCAACAAAGGAUGAAAGAAAGUAUAUACUAAAUCACUUUGAGAAAUUUCUGGUGCCAUCUUGAAUAAACUUACAAGGAAUUUCUCAAUAUCCGCUCGUCGUUUAUCAGCAACUUGCUUUAUGUUAGAUCUUCCAACACUUAUACCACUUGAAAAGAACAUCAAAUUAAAAAUGGGUAUUAUUAAACGUUUCCGUGCUCAAAUAUUGAUACAAAAAGCUUCGUCUAGAAAAUCGAUUGCCCCUGAAUUUUAUCGAAGAAUAUCACAAACUGCAUCACAAUCGCAGAAAAACAUAAAUAACAAUAUAAAUAACAAGAAAACUAUUAGCACUGAUAUUAAACAAUCCAAGUCUUCAUCCUAACAAUAGAAAAAUAAGAUAAAGUAAAAAGUUAUUUGCAUUGGAUUCAAUAUGUCGAAUAAUCUAGACUAUUAGACAUAAAAUCUUCUGCAUGAUGUAGAUAAAUUAAAUUACUAUAUACGCUUAAUCUCUACAGAUAUGAAUCAUAUAUGAUAUUAUAUAAAUUAUUAUUAAUAUAUUAUUGCUGAUUAACAACUGUAAUAUGUACUUUAAUU
rnacentral:misc_RNA from 1 species